GCUAAACGCGAAGAACCUUACCAGGCCUUGACAUGCAGAGAACUUUCUAGAGAUAGAUUGGUGCCUUCGGGAGCUCUGACACAGGUGCUGCAGGGCUGUCGUCAGCUCGUGUCGUGAGAUGUUGGGUUAAGUCCCGUAACGAGCGCAACCCUUGUCCUUAGUUACCAGCACGUUAUGGUGGGCACUCUAAGGAGACUGCCGGUGACAAACCGGAGGAAGGUGGGGAUGACGUCAAGUCAUCAUGGCCCUUACGGCCUGGGCUACACACGUGCUACAAUGGUCGGUACAGAGGGUUGCCAAGCCGCGAGGUGGAGCUAAUCUCACAAAACCGAUCGUAGUCCGGAUCGCAGUCCGCAACUCGACUGCGUGAAGUCGGAAUCGCUAGUAAUCGCGAAUCAGAAUGUCGCGGUGAAUACGUUCCCGGGUCUUGUACACACCG
rnacentral:rRNA from 1 species